rnacentral:rRNA from 1 species
GAUGAACGCUGGCGGCGUGCCUAAUACAUGCAAGUCGAGCGAACGUUCUCUAGUCUUUCUUCUCUGAUGUUUUCGCCGGACACGUGAGUAACACGUGUAUAACCCCCCUCUCAGACUCUGAUACCUUCAUUAAACAGGAUCUCUUACCGCAUAAUAUUUUAAUCCUCGUGUUUCAAAUGUUUAAGACUUUCUUAUUCUAACUUUUUGAUAUAUCUGCGCUGCAUUAGCUAGAUGGUAGGGUAAAGGCUCACCAAGGCAACGAUGCAUAGCCGACCUGAGAGGGUGAUCGGCCACACUGGAACUGAGACACGGUCCAGACUCCUACGGGAGGCAGCAGUAGGGAAUCUUCCGCAAUGGGCGAAAGCCUGACGGAGCAACGCCGCGUGAGUGAUGAAGGUUUUCGGAUCGUAAAGCUCUGUUAUUAGGGAAGAACAUAUGUGUAAGAAACAGAGAAGAAAGUGACGGUACCUAAUCAGAAAGCCACGGCUAACUACGUG